GGGAGCCGACGCUGAAGAAAUCUUCUUCAUACAGCGAGGAGAGGAGCUCAAAGCUGGGGAUCGGCGAAGAAUGCUUGGCGGUCGCAGAGGAUGGAGGAGGAGGAGGAGGAGGCGUGAAAGGUAAAUGCAUCCCCGGAAGGAAAAAGUCCUCCAAACUACAGGACCAGCAGCGGCAGUCCAAUAAAUGAGCUGUGAAAUUAUUACCGGAAUUGCCCCCUAAAAGCUGCUGGGCUCGUUAAUGUGUUGGGUUGGUGGUUGGCCUGUAAUUAGCGGCUACUCUGCAGGGUUAAUUGUCGGGGUGUUGACUUCUGUUCUGAGAGGUGACAGCUGUCGUCUGGGCUUUUUAGGGAAGUAGAAAGCAAACAAGAGUAUCUAUAAAUGCUGGGGUGCUACUGCUUAUUAGAUAUUUUCUAUAUUCCGUUCUGUUGUCAAAUUUAUCAGGAUCGUUUUA